UACGUAGGGGGCAAGCGUUGUCCGGAUUCAUUGGGCGUAAAGAGCUCGUAGGCGGCUUGGCAAGUCGGGUGUGAAAACUCCAGGCUCAACCUGGAGACGCCACCCGAUACUGCCAUGGCUUGAGUCCGGUAGGGGACCACGGAAUUCCUGGUGUAGCGGUGAAAUGCGCAGAUAUCAGGAGGAACACCGAUGGCGAAGGCAGGUCUCUGGGCCGUUACUGACGCUGAGGAGCGAAAGCAUGGGGGAGCGAACAGG
rnacentral:rRNA from 1 species